GCAAGGGGAGCGGCAGACGGGAUAGUAACACGUGGGAACGUACCCUUCAGUUCGGAACAACCCAGGGAAACUUGGGCUAAUACCGAAUACGUCCGUAAGGAGAAAGAUUUAUCGCUGAAGGAUCGGCCCGCGUCUGAUUAGCUAGUUGGUGAGGUAAUGGCUCACCAAGGCGACGAUCAGUAGCUGGUCUGAGAGGAUGAUCAGCAUCACUGGGACUGAGACACGGCCCAGACUCCUACGGGAGGCAGCAGUGGGGAAUAUUGGACAAUGGGCGCAAGCCUGAUCCAGCCAUGCCGCGUGGAUGAUGAAGGCCCUAGGG
rnacentral:rRNA from 1 species